CGUAAAGUACUGUUGUAAGAGAAGAACAAGGAUAAGAGUAACUGCUUGUCCCUUGACGGUAUCUACCCAGAAAGCCACGGCUAACUACGUGCCAGCAGCCGCGGUAAUACGUAGGUGGGAAGCGUUGUCCGGAUUUAUUGGGCGUAAAGCGCGCGCAGGCGGUCUUUUAAGUCUGAUGUGAAAGCCCCCCGCUUAACCGGGGAGGGUCAUUGGAAACUGGAAGCCUGGAGUGCAGAAGAGGAGCGUGGAAUUCCACGUGUAGCGG
rnacentral:rRNA from 1 species